rnacentral:rRNA from 1 species
AUUGAACGCUGGCGGCAGGCUUAACACAUGCAAGUCGAGCGGGUGAGGUUGCUUCGGUAACUGAGCUAGCGGCGGACGGGUGAGUAAUGCUUAGGAAUCUGCCUAUUAGUGGGGGACAACAUUCCGAAAGGAAUGCUAAUACCGCAUACGCCCUACGGGGGAAAGCAGGGGAUCUUCGGACCUUGCGCUAAUAGAUGAGCCUAAGUCAGAUUAGCUAGUUGGUGGGGUAAAGGCCUACCAAGGCGACGAUCUGUAGCGGGUCUGAGAGGAUGAUCCGCCACACUGGGACUGAGACACGGCCCAGACUCCUACGGGAGGCAGCAGUGGGGAAUAUUGGACAAUGGGCGAAAGCCUGAUCCAGCCAUGCCGCGUGUGUGAAGAAGGCCUUUUGGUUGUAAAGCACUUUAAGCGAGGAGGAGGCUACUUGGAUUAAUACUCUAGGAUAGUGGACGUUACUCGCAGAAUAAGCACCGGCUAACUCUGUGCCAGCCGCCGCGGUAA